UACGUAGGGUGCAAGCGUUGUCCGGAAUUAUUGGGCGUAAAGAGCUUGUAGGCGGUUUGUCGCGUCUGCUGUGAAAUUUCGGGGCUCAACCCCGAACUUGCAGUGGGUACGGGCAGACUAGAGUGUGGUAGGGGAGACUGGAAUUCCUGGUGUAGCGGUGAAAUGCGCAGAUAUCAGGAGGAACACCAAUGGCGAAGGCAGCUCACUGGGACGAUACUGACGCUGGAGACGCGAAAGCGUGGGGAGCAAACAGG
rnacentral:rRNA from 1 species